CUUGCUGCAAGGCAACAGUGCUACCAACUGUGCCACCAUGCAGCCUGGACAGCAAAAAAAUACAGGAAGAAUCUGGAGUGGAGUUAAAUUGCUGAAUUCAUGUCAUUCAGCUUUACAGAGGCCUGGUAACAAGCCAUUCAUUUAACUCAGGAGUGUUAGGGAAGGAAUGCAUCUAAAAGUUGCCACAUUAAGCUCUGGACAACCCUGUUUUACAGUGUUCUCAAAGUAAAAGAUACUUUUCAGAAGUGGGAUUCAAACGUCUACCUCCAGAGGAGACUAAUGCAAACAAUAUCAGAAAUGUGCGGUCAGUGAUGACUAUUACAGGCUUUAAGCAGAAGGAGGAUCAAAUAGAUGUAAGUCUGGUGCAAAGGAACUGAACACAAUUUUAAUAGGUUCAGUUAAGGAACAGGUUCAGAAUCCUCCUCUCCUGCCCCCAGCCAAACACACAUCCCACCCUCCUUUGACCCACUGAUAUUCUGUUGCAUCUUAAAUAUUUUAUCUUACAAUAUGGCUAUGAAACCUUCUAAUUCGACAUAGUGUUCAAUCAAACCAGGAGAUCCUGGUGCUGUGUGUCUGCUGCCCUUUUUUAAGCACUGACCUGUUUUACCUGAAGAAAGAAAACUACACAAACUAGAACCUUAGUAUGUUAGUCUUCACCACUUCUGACAAACUGAUGUCCUCCAUCAAUUACUGCAUUACAGUGCAACAAGCAAUGUUGUGCUUACUUGUGGCCAGGAACGCACAUUACAGGUGUUCUUAGCCACUUAAUGUAAAGUAUGUUAAAAAAACUUUCGCCCAGCUGCCAGUUUGCUGUUUUCACAAAUGCCAGGAUGGCCAAGUAGUCUUAGGUGCUACUAUUUAGGCCAGUCUCCCUUGAAGCUUGGGUUAGAACCGCACUUCUUACUUCUGAUAAGGUUCCUUUCCUUCGAGUAGGCUGUAAACAUAAACAUUCUUAAAGACUGUCUGUUAUCACUUUUAUGAUUGCUACAAUCAGCCAACUUCUGCUGCACCUUGUCUAGAUCCUAUUAUAAAAAGCUCCCCGGCUGUAAUUUUGAUAUUGUCGAAAAGCCUGGCUUGAUAAAAUUAUUGUAGUAAAAGUCUCAGUCUUGUUUGUUACUAUGUUUUUGUGUGAUAUAUGUGUAACAAAUAAACAUCCUGUGUCCCUAGAUCUUUAUCAGAAAAAGCUGUAACAACUUUUAAACAAUCUGUUCCAUUUUUUAUUUCCUGAGUAUAACAGAACAACACAAAGAGCAGCUUCAUUUCUACAUGGUCACAGGUGUUGUUGUUCAUGGUGUUUCUGCCUCAUUGUAUGUUGCCUCAGACAAAGUAACCCCUUUGAAAAGGAUUGCAAUUAGUCAUUGGAGGCUGGCUCCCUAGUUUAAUUCAGAGCUUUGCACUUUAAAGCACACCAGUGUCACAAUCUGUGUUGUACUACUGUGUGUGCGUGUGUGUGUGUGUGUGUGUCUUCCCGGAGAGGCUUUGCUGGUGGGCGUGGUGUGCAGACUGUGCAAACUGUAUCUAAUUUUGGCUGGAGCAUUUUUUAGGAGCUGCAGGACAAGCAUUCUUCGCAGGAUGUUCCACGUUGAGUGGUCGUGUGGAUCACAACUCCGGAUUCACUUCCUUCACCUUUGGACAGAAAAACCCUGGAACCCAGCUACCAGCUGCCUCUGCAAGCUCCAACUAUCCUCCAGCCUGCCCGCUCUCCAACUCUACUGGAAGCACACCUUCUGACCCUCCAGAUCGCUGCCUACGGAUUGUGCCCCAAGAACCCCCCCUUUAGAUCAUCUACCUGGACAUCACAAGCCCGAGAGUCUGGACUAGACGACCAGAGAACGCAUACUUUGGGAGAAUUUUGGGAGACAGUUUUGCCUCUUGAGAUAAUUAAACUUUUGAAAUGUA